UACGUAGGUGGCAAGCGUUUGUCCGGAAUUAUUGGGCGUAAAGCGCGCGCAGGCGGUCUCUUAAGUCUGAUGUGAAAGCCCCCGGCUCAACCGGGGAGGGUCAUUGGAAACUGGGAGACUUGAGUGCAGAAGAGAAGAGUGGAAUUCCACGUGUAGCGGUGAAAUGCGUAGAGAUGUGGAGGAACACCAGUGGCGAAGGCGACUCUUUGGUCUGUAACUGACGCUGAGGCGCGAAAGCGUGGGGAGCAAACAGGG
rnacentral:rRNA from 1 species